UGCAGUCUUUAGCUGUAUUUUCUGAAAUCACUACUGUCUUUAGUCACUUAGCCUUAGCUGAACCUUCUAUUUUCACUGCUAGGUUGCAAAAUAUAUGCUCCUAAAACCUACUGCUUUAACUUCAAUAUUCUUGUUUUAAACUCCCAUCAUUGAGACCUUAACUGUGUUUGAGACGUGCUAAUCAUGUGCUUACUUGUGGGGGGUAUGUGAGCCUUUAUGUGUCCCUUUAUGUGUGUUCUUAUUUUUUAUGUAUGUCGCCUAGAAUUUUGUCCUUUAAACCUAAGGGAUCAGCCUAGACCUUACCUCGUAGGAAUAGUAGUCCUAAAUACCCUCUAGAACUAAUAGGAUGGGACGGGUAAUGUUACAACCCAUAUCCACACGCGUUAGUUCAUGCCAUACGUUAGUUAACAUAAAUCCAAGAAGGGAUUAUCCUUGAGAUGAUAAGAAGUUAAUCCCAUUGAUCUUAAGUGAUACAAGGGUGUAUAAGAGUGAUAAGCAAUUAUUAGAAGUUAAACGAAUCAAGGAUGUUGUAACUUGUAUUUUCGAGUAAACCUAUAGGUGCUUAAUACACUCAAGAGGUCAUGUUUUAAGUUAUAUGAAUCAUAUAAUAUAUGUUUCACAGUCUUGAAGUCAAACGAGUUAUGAAACAAAAGUCGACAAAAGUUGUCGCAACUUAGGUUCACGAUUUUACUUAAACUUUAAGUCAAAUGUUAUUAAGCUUUUCUCCUAAUAUACUUGAAAUUACGGUGUAAUCUACCCACAAAAUAUAAGAUCGAUGAGACUAGAUUAUAACGCAUUAAACCUUUUAUCAAUACGAUAUCGUAGUACAGAGAUAUAGGCAUUUUUGUGAGACUGCACAAGCGGCUAGGUGACAAGUAGGUGUGUCACCUACUUGGUUAAAUGAUAGCCCAAAAAAAGGAAAUUUUGGGUCGGAUAUUGAGACCAUUUAAAGGGCUAUAUCCUGAAAUAUAACCCUCAAUAUAUCUAACAAAUAAUCAGACCUAAACCCCUGCAAAUCUCCUCCCAAAAAUCCGACACAAACCCUUAUCGAUUUUCCCUCUCUUUCAAGUUCUAAUUGAGGGUAAAAUCAAGAGUUUGAAGAAUAAAGGAAAGGGAUGAGUUAUCCAACGAGUAAGGUACUUUUACUGCUCUAUCUCAUAUAUUGUUUAUGCUGUGAACUCAUGGUAAUUCGUUCAAUACAUGUAAGAACUCAUGGGACGGUGAUCGAAAGCCGUGAGUUCGAGUUAUUCACUUGUAGCUGACUGUUUUGUGUUGCUGUUGAGCUAAUUUUUUUACUAUUAUCUUGUGGAGUUUUGGAGGAGGAAGGGUGUAUAGAAACACCAUAUAUAUUUAGGGUUGUGGGCUGGCAGUUCCUUGUAAUAUUUUCGGGUCGUUUGACACGACUACGGUGGCCGUCGUAUGUAGGAAGUGAUUAAGUUGUGCAUGGACUAUUUUGGGAGGCUCAAUAUGAUUAUUAUUGAUGUUGUUUGGGCUUUUUGGUGAUUUUUUGGAAUUGUGUUACGUCAUAUAUAUAGGGGAGAUUCUGUCCGUUUCUUCGUAAAAUAGGUUGUUUGUGAUACAUAAUUGUUAUGACGCGUAAAUGAUAAUGAUAGUAUCGUUACUCUUAUUGUAGACUUUGUGACAAUUGCAUAGCUUGAUAUUGGGGAAGCAUAUAUAAGGUAUGUGAGG
rnacentral:lncRNA from 1 species